rnacentral:rRNA from 1 species
AUGGCAAUGGAGCAGCUCGGAGCCUCCACAAUGCUGGUGCUAUUGCUCACCUUCAUCUACCUCGUCCUCAGGCUCAGGCGCAAGACCAGCAACCCGCACACGCUCCCGCUCCCGCCGGGCCCAGCGCCGUGGCCCGUGGUGGGCAGCCUGCCGGAGAUGAUGCUCAACAAGCCAGCGUUCCGGUGGAUCCACCGCAUGAUGGAGGGGAUGGGCACCAACAUCGUCUGCGUCCGCCUUGGCGGCGUCCACGUCGUCGCUGUCACCUGCCCCACCAUCGCCCGCGAGGUGCUCCGGAAGCAGGACGCCACCUUCGCCUCCCGCCCGCUCACCUUCGCCUCCGCCGCCUUCAGCCGCGGGUACAAGAACGCCGUGCUGUCGCCGUUUGGGGACCAGUGGAGGAAGAUGCGCCGCGUGCUCACCUCCGAGAUCAUCUGCCCCUCCCGCCACCGGUGGCUCCAUGAUCGCCGCGCCGACGAGGCCGACAACCUCACCAGCUACGUCUACAGCCUCGCCACCGCCGCGAAGGGGUCAUCGUCGGGCAGUGGAGCGGUGGACGUGAGGCACGUCGCGAGGCACUACUGCGGCAACGUCAUCCGCCGGCUCCUAUUCGGCAGGCGAUACUUCGGUGAGCCCGGACGUCGCGAUGGCGGGCCGGGGCCGAUGGAGGUGGAGCACAUGGACGCCUUGUUCACCUCUCUCGGGCUCCUCUACGCGUUUUGCGUAUCCGACUACCUCCCAUGGUUGUGCGGCUUCGACCUUGACGGCCAUGAGAAGAUGGUCAAGGAGGCCAACGCAACCAUGAACCGGCUGCACGACGCCGUCAUCGACGAGCGAUGGGGGCAGUGGAAGUCCGGCGAGAGGAAGGAGCUUGAUGACUUCCUCGACGUGCUCAUCACGCUCAAAGACGCCGAGGGGAAGCCGCUGCUCACCAUCGAGGAGAUCAAAGCACAGUCUCAGGACAUAACCUUUGCUGCCGUUGACAACCCAUCGAACGCGGUAGAGUGGGCCCUGGCAGAGAUGGCGAACGAGCCGGAGGUGAUGGCGAAGGCGAUGAAGGAGAUGGACCGCGUGGUGGGCCGGGAGCGGCUGAUGCAGGAGUCAGAUAUCCCCCAGCUCAGCUACGCCAAGGCGUGCAUCAGAGAAGCGUUCCGGCUGCACCCCGUCGCGCCUUUCAACGUGCCGCAUGUUGCGCUCGCCGACACCAACGUCGCCGGUUACCACAUACCCAAGGGAAGCCAUGUCAUCCUCAGCCGCACUGGGCUCGGCAGGAACCCGACCAUCUGGGAUGAGCCGCUCCGCUUCAUGCCGGAGCGCCACAUUCAUACGACCACGGAUGAUGUGACACUCACAGAGAACGAGCUGAGGUUCAUCUCUUUCAGCACCGGCCGUCGUGGGUGCGUCGCGGCAUCGCUUGGGACGGCAAUGUGCAUGAUGCUCUUCGGCAGGCUUCUGCAAGGGUUCACUUGGAGCAAGCCAAUAGGAUUGGCAGCUAUAGAUCUCAGCGAGUCAGAGCAUGACAUGUUCCUAGCCAAGCCAUUGAUGAUGCGUGCUAAGCCGCGUCUGCCGGUGCACUUCUACCACGCCGCCGCCAUCUAA